GAAACACAUGAAGCCGAUGUCCCCGUCCCGCCCGCGCGCCCCGCUCGCCACAGCCCGGCCGCCGCCUCCUCCUCCCGCGUUGCCCCGCCUCACCGUGCUGUCACUCCGCAACUCUCCGCCGUCGCCUCGUGCAAGGCCUGAGGCGGCUCUCAGCCUAGACGGCGCCGGCGCUCGCCCUGGGUGGCAUCCGUUGGUCCCUCCUCCGACUGCGUGACGCACCGACGGACCCCUUGCUCGACCUGAAGCCGACGGAUCCUCCCUGAAACAGCGGUGAAGCCUUCCCUGACCCUGCCUCCCACGCAGACCAUCUUCCCAAGAAAUCCAUCUGUUCUGUUCCUGCACAAGAAAAAUCCAUCUUGUAUUUUGUUGUUGAAUCUGUUUUAGGCAUGGCAAAAAAAAAGAGGUAUGGAUUUAUUGAUGAAUAUGUGUCUUUCAAAUGCUUGUAUUGACAAAUUUAGGAAUGCAAAAUUCCUUGUAUUCUGUGUUGGCUUAUUUCAGGAAAGCCAGAGAAUUGGUCCGUUCUGACUGUGGGGCAAAAACUAGCAGUGAUGAACUUAUGACAAUGAUGAUGAUCAUGGGAAGCACGAUCAGGUUAUGAUGAAUUCACUGUUAUCUUUGGGGAGCCCAGAAGCUGUUUCCUCACCUAGAAAGGUCGAAUACAUCCACUCAUGUGCCUGUAUUCCUUAUAUUGCCGAUGCUUAUUACGGUGGGGUAUUGACAGUAUAUGUCUCACAUGCCAGUGUAAGUUUAUUCUCCAAACUGGAAUGGAUAUUCAUUGUUAUCCUGCUUUGCAUGUGUAUGAUGGAUGUCCUAAAUAUUUGGUUGAUGUACUGGACAGUAUAACACUUAUUCCAGGAUACCUAAGGUGCAAUGGUAUUUUUGCUGCCAUAGCUUACGUUAGAACAAAAUAAAGUUUGAUUAAGUAUUUUCUGUCGAAUAUUGCAGUGCCAUUUUCUCAUGGACAAUAUCAAUAUUAAAAGUAUGAUAAUGUUCCAGUUAGUUACGAAUUCGUUGCAAAUUUAAGAGUCAUUCUUUAAUGUUUCAUGCACCCAAAGCUAAAUAGAAUUAAGAUAUGUAUUCAUUCUUUUAUGCAUGACAAGUGCUCCAGUCCAUUAGAUUUUAGGGCAUAAAGUACUUGACACCAAUUUGUUGACAAAACAUGAUGCCCAGAUAUACUUUUGGCCGGAACAAAUGAUGGCGUGGUGUAUGGUUGGAAGUUGUUCUCUGUGGCAGUCUGCAUGGUGCCAAAUCAGAACUCUGAAUCUCAAAUAUCACAAAAACAAGUCAAAGAGUUUUGAAUUUUGGAUGUUUGUUUUCCCGCAGAUCUCAAUAUAUGAAUAUUCAAAUUACUUUGGAGGUUAUUUCGGUCAACAAUUGAUUACCUGGUAGUUACAGAUUAUUGUUUUAUUUUUUUAGCUAAUGGUGCUAACCCACCUUAUUAGUUUGCUUUGUUCUGAGUGGAGGCACAAGGCAAUGAAAGUGCUGCAAGCCAGAGGUAAGGUCAAGACCAUAAGAAAAGAGAGGAUGGGAGGAGGCAGAGGCAAAGCAUGGAAAGAGACGAGCAAGCUCAUGUCUCCUCAUUACUCAUAAUAAAUGAGAUUUAUAAUGUGCUCCGUUUGUUACCCUAGACAAGAGCAAACUGCAAACCAACACAAAGACUUGUUGGAGCUAGAGAAAAUGAGGACCUGUUAUGGCAGAAGGGAGCAAUGACACGGUCGUGGCAUAGUUGACGGGUCCACAGAAAAGAUGAUUGUAUUAGGAAACAAAAUAAAUAGCAGAGACUUGUCGAGAUGAGGCUCACGACUUGUCAUUGUUAAAGAGACGAGUGCUAUCCCCUGAAAACAUAUCUACUACUUUUUCAUGGGGCAGAAUUUGGUUCUGGUUUUGUCUCAACCAUGUGAUUAAAUUACAA